rnacentral:rRNA from 1 species
GACGAACGCUGGCGGCGUGCUUAACACAUGCGAGUCGAACGGUAAGGCCCUUCGGGGUACACGAGUGGCGAACGGGUGAGUAACACGUGGGUGAUCUGCCCUGCACUUCGGGAUAAGCCUGGGAAACUGGGUCUAAUACCGGAUAGGACCACUGCCUGCAUGGGUGGUGGUGGAAAGCUUUUGCGGUGUGGGAUGGGCCCGCGGCCUAUCAGCUUGGUGGUGGGGUGAUGGCCGACCAAGGGGACGACGGGUAGCCGGCCUGAGAGGGUGACCGGCCCCACUGGGGCUGAGAUACGGACCAGACUCCUACGGGGGGCAGCAGUGGAGAAUAUUGCGCAAUGGGCGCAAGUCUGAUGCAGCGACGCCGCGUGAGGGAUGACGGCCUUCGGGUUGUAAACCUCUUUCAGCACCGACGAAGCGCAAGUGACGGUAGGUGCAGAAGAAGGACCGGCCAACUACGUGCCAGCCGCCGCCGUAA